rnacentral:rRNA from 1 species
GCGAAUCUGAGGGAGCUUGCUGGGAUUUGAUUAGCGGCGGACGGGUGAGUAACACGUGGGUAACCUGCCUGUAAGAUUGGGAUAACUCCGGGAAACCGGAGCUAAUACCGGAUAACAUUUUGAACCGCAUGGUUCAAAAUUGAAAGAUGGUUUCGGCUAUCACUUACAGAUGGACCCGCGGCGCAUUAGCUAGUUGGUGAGGUAACGGCUCACCAAGGCGACGAUGCGUAGCCGACCUGAGAGGGUGAUCGGCCACACUGGGACUGAGACACGGCCCAGACUCCUACGGGAGGCAGCAGUAGGGAAUCUUCCGCAAUGGACGAAAGUCUGACGGAGCAACGCCGCGUGAACGAUGAAGGCCUUCGGGUCGUAAAGUUCUGUUGUUAGGGAAGAACAAGUACCAGAGUAACUGCUGGUACCUUGACCCCUACCUAACCAGAAAGCCACGGCUAACUACGUGCCAGCAGCCGCGGUAAUACGUAGGUGGCAAGCGUUGUCCGGAAUUAUUGGGCGUAAAGCGCGCGCAGGUGGUUUCUUAAGUCUGAUGUGAAAGCCCACGGCUCAACCGUGGAGGGUCAUUGGAAACUGGGGAACUUGAGUGCAGAAGAGGAAAGUGGAAUUCCAAGUGUAGCGGUGAAAUGCGUAGAGAAAAGGAGGAACA